rnacentral:rRNA from 1 species
GAUGAACGCUAGCGGCAGGCUUAACACAUGCAAGUCGAGGGGCAGCACGGGUAGCAAUACCUGGUGGCGACCGGCGCAAGGGUGCGUAACGCGUGAGCAACAUGCCCUAUACAGGGGGAUAAUCCAGGGAAACUUGGUCUAAUAUCCCAUAGCAUUUAGAGGUGGCAUCACCAUUAAAUUAAAGCUUCGGUGGUAUAGGAUUGGCUCGCGUGACAUUAGCUAGAUGGUGGGGUAACGGCUCACCAUGGCUAUGAUGUCUAGGGGUUCUGAGAGGAAGACCCCCCACACUGGGACUGAGACACGGCCCAGACUCCUACGGGAGGCAGCAGUGAGGAAUAUUGGACAAUGGAUGGAAAUCUGAUCCAGCCAUGCCGCGUGCAGGAAGACGGCCCUAUGGGUUGUAAACCUCUUUUAGUAGGGAAGAAGCGCAAGUGACGGUACCUGCAGAAAAAGCACCGGCUAACUACGUG